AGAGCGAACGCUGGCGGCAGGCCUAACACAUGCAAGUCGAACGCCCCUUCGGGGGAGUGGCGGACGGGUGAGUAACGCGUGGGAAUGUGCCCUUUGGUACGGAACAACUGAGGGAAACUUCAGCUAAUACCGUAUGUGCCCCUCGGGGGAAAGAUUUAUCGCCAUUGGAGCAGCCCGCGUUGGAUUAGGUAGUUGGUGGGGUAAAGGCCUACCAAGCCUACGAUCCAUAGCUGGUCUGAGAGGAUGAUCAGCCACACUGGGACUGAGACACGGCCCAGACUCCUACGGGAGGCAGCAGUGGGGAAUCUUGCGCAAUGGGCGAAAGCCUGACGCAGCCAUGCCGCGUGUAUGAUGAAGGUCUUAGGAUUGUAAAAUACUUUCACCGGGGAAGAUAAUGACGGUACCCGGAGAAGAAGCCCCGGCUAACUUCGCGCCAGCAGCCGC
rnacentral:rRNA from 1 species